AGACACACAACGAGAGGCCCCAGCACAGAUGUAGCUGGACCCCAGGUUCAUCUCUGAAGGAAUAAACCUACCAGGCUGAUAAGGUGCAGCAACUGACAGCAUCUAGGAAACAUCCCCAGAACACCACAAAAAAUCUGCACUCCUGAUUUUGAGAGAGGUUGUGAUGCAUGGCCCAAAGGAAGCAUCUCUGCACCCAAGGAACAAGCCACUGCAUUUGUUGACAGUUUACAUGGUACACAGGAGGGAACUCUGCCCUGGGCAGAUGAGGAUUGUCCAGACAGAUGACAGAAUCUGAGAAGUAGCAGGAGCUCUUUGGCAUCCUGCUGUGAUCUGUGGGGAGAAAGGUGCAGCUGUGAGAGUCCAGGCUAUGGCAGCCCUGCUAUUGGAACAUGAACUGCUGCCAGAUGAUCUCUUGUCUCUUUUAAGUAAAGCUUAGCUCCUGCCAUUUGUUUAGACCCUAAGAGUAUUAAUUACCCUUAAUGGCCUUAAACCAGCCCCACCUGGUGCUUCCAACCACACCCAUGGGCCCAGAAGCCAAUUUAAGCACUGCAGGAGGUCCUUAUCUCCUUUCUUGAGCUGUGUUACAUCCUGCUAGAUGGCGGUUUGGCUAAGGACCUGCUGAUUCUAGCACAGUUGGAUUUCUCAACUUGCUCUUACCACGGUAUUUCCUUGUCAACUGGGCUACUAUCUCCAGGAUUGCCUGCUUGCAUUGCUCAGGUGUUUCCAUGGCUAUGUGUGCAGUCACAGUACAUCCAUGAACCGCAGCCCUGUCAGCUCUGUGAGGCCACCACUACCUCUUUGUGCAGGUGCUACAUGGACCAGUGCUCCCUUGGGAUGUGACGGAGGGAUGAGCAGGUGGUGGCAGGGAGCCCAGAGCAAGACUGGGUGAUGGGCAGAGGAAAAGCAGCCAGGUGAUGCACUUCUCUUCCUCUCUAUGACAAACUGCAAAUGCCAAAGGUACGUCAGAGGGAUGGAGCUGCGUCAAAGGAGCCCUUCUGUAAGGAUGUGAGGGAGCCGUGACUCCUGAGCGAGGUCAAGGCCAGCCGGGGAGCCUCCAUGGUGAGAAAUCCCUGAUGGACAAACAGCCCACACAGCUGUGAGCUCCCGGCACGCUGCACUCAGGGAGGCUUUGGCACUGACCCCAAUGCUGCCAGGAUUUCCCCUGCAAUUAGCAGCGUGCAGCCGUCUGGAGAGGAUGUUCCCUCCGGAAGGCUGCAAAGUGAGCUUAGUAUCUGUGAAGCAAAGGAUAAAGCCUUGUUAGCCUCUGGCAGACAAAAUGCUGACUUGAACCCAAGAAAUAUUGGAUGCUGCGUACAGCACUAAAUAAUGUCUGGUUUGGGGGUUGGCAAGGUUGCUUAGGAGCUGGCAGUGGCCAACUGUAUGUGGGGGGACAGGUAGGGAGCAGCCACCAGGUGCUCAGGGCAGAUGUAUGAUACCUCUUCAAUGGAGUUUUUCUUUAAAAAAAGAAACAAACUGUGUUGUUAAAGACCUUAACUACCUGUAUUUGAAGAUGGUUGUCUGAAAAGAUGAAAAACAUACAUUUUCAUUUUCAUUUCAGAUUAGCAUGGUAAACAGGUAGAUCUGUUCUUUCAAAUGGAGCAUUCAGUUCCAUUUGUUAGCUUUGUUGCUGAUAUUUCACCUCUCUUUUAUUUACUUUACAUGGUUUGACAAGAAAUUCUCAGCGAGAUAAUAUAUCUACAUGAAAGUCUGGCUUAGGAAACAAGUCCAGAGGUUUCAGUAGGACAGAAUCAGUGUAGGUCUUUGCCAGUGCAGGUCUGCCUCCAUUCUGCAGAAAGCACUCAGCAGAGUUACCCAAUCAUGUGAAUAGUUUUGGUAGAAAAAAAAAUGUAUUACUUUCCCCCCCCCCCCCUAAAAAUAAGUAUAUUAAUGGAAAUCAAGAUUGCAUCCACUUGGGAAAAAGAAAUUGAAUCACAAGUAAUGGAAGCUAUUACUCUGAAAAUAAUGCCUUCUCCCAAGCCAGGUGGGAUGAUUCCUACGGCAAAGAGCUACCAGUACAAAGCGAAUUAGUAAACAUUCAUGUUGCUUUUUGCCAUAUAACGUUAGACAAAAUGUAUAUGUCAUCUCGAUUUCCCCUGAGCAGCAUGGCAAAAAAUGUUCCUUACACAGCAACCAGGCAGUGCACUGCAUUUCUGAGGCUGAACUGAGGCAGGUGGUGGAGUACAUCUACAUUCUUAGUAAGAAAUACUGCUUGCCUGGUCUGCAUGGUUCAGAACUAUCCCUCUUUGUUUUCUUUUCAGAGUUCAAAUUAGCACUCAUACACAGAAGAGACCCACAGUGCUGGAGUUUGCUGUUCUCAGUGGGGUACCUGAGAUCGUGCCCAACAUACCCAAAGGCUGCAGGUCCAGCAGUAUGGCUCCGGCUCCUGCAUCAGCACCGCAGUCAAUGACAAGGGGAAGUUUUUACAGCCUGAGGUCAAUGAGAAGUGAUAAACAACAUGGGGAAUGACAAAAAUAAAUAACUAAUAAGGAUGGGGAAAUUAGAAGGGGAAAAAGAAAAAAAGAAAAAAGAGAGAAGAAAUCAAAGUAUGCUGAAAACUUACCCAAAUCAAAAUCCAGGCCUUGAUGAUGUUCUUGCAGGAGCCUGGGCAAAAUCUCCCUCUGACUUUGAUGGUGGAGGAUCAGUUCCUUAGGAAGGGAGGGAAAUUUGGACAUAACCACAAGAAAGAAUGUACUGCAAAGUGAAGGAAUUAGGUGAGCAGUGCCGUACAAAAAUAACGAUUCAGUGGCUGGUAGGCAAUAUUGUCAUCUCUGCACACAUCCAAGGACUUAAAUGACCCACUAGUCUGGCUGAGGAUCAGCUCCCUUAAUAAUAAGAAAGAGUAAUUUAAACUACGGCUUUUUUCAUUGUGUUUUACACAGGUUUGGGGAAUAUGUUAUCAAAGGCUCCAAUUCUGGCCAAAGUCCACAGGCAUCAUACCUGUGGUCAGGCCCCGGAUAGAAAGAUCAGAGCUGUCUUUGCUUAGCCCCACUCCCAAAAACAGAUCAAUCGGAGGUAACUCAAAAGGAAAUAUUCUACAGGGAACAGCUGAAGAUGCAUUUAGAGGAAAUAAUCCCCAUUCAGGAUGCCAUUAUUAAAGGAGAGAGAUAACUAUCAGAGCUGAGAUAUGUCAGGGCAACCUCAUUGACAUGGGACUGGAGAACUUCUACUGUAAAAGCAGAGAAACUAGGUCAGUGCUUUUUGAAGAGAGGAAAGCUCGGGUGGACAUCAUUAUUUUAUAUGUGAUUCUAAGGGGAGUAGCUGGGAGAGAUGUCAGAAAACUGGUGUCAAAUACAGGAACAAAUGGACAGGCUGUAGGGAAGGGAAAUGAACAGAAACUAAAGGAGGUUCAAACCCAGGAGAUAUAAACAUUUCUGUACACAUCAAGUAGUUAAUGCAAGGGCUGGGUUACGGAAAGGGCUGGUAAGAGCAACCAAUAGGGGUUUGGGAAAGGAAAUCUUUAUGGGGCACAGACAAAUCAGUCUCUUGCUCUUGGUCUGUCCUGAGGAUUGCCCAAGUUUCAAUCUCAAAAUUACUUUGAGUUUCACAUACAGUAAAUCUCUGUGCAAGCGCAAUAGAUUGAAGUGACAAUUCAGUUUAUCACUUGAAGAUAAAACUCAGAAGAACAUUUGCCUUAUAAUUCUAUUAAUAUAAAUGUAAUUACAAGGGCUAACUCCAAUUCAAAUGUUAACUUAUAAGCCUUGGUGGAGGUAGCAGCCUACAGAGAAAGAGAUGAUGCUGGAAUCCCUGAUUUUGAUCAAUAGUUCAAUGUUAAUAGACUUUAUUUAUGAGUUGGAGCAUACGGUUUGAAAAUGAGCCUAAUGAUUAAGUUGUGUGUGUGUAGACACACUUCCAUACAUUCUCUAAGCACUAGAAUAUUUGCACGUUACAGUUACCUCUAAAGGAGAAAGAAAAACCUCUCACUGGUGUUGAAAGAGAUGAGACAAGUUUUUAUGUCUAAAGAACGGAGUGCUACCUAUCACACAAGUGUGAGCACAACUUCCAGAAGCUGGUGCUUUAAAUACGGAUUGUACCAAUAUUUUUUGUUCUGAGUGUCUAAGAUGCAAACCAGCCACUAAGAGCAAAAAGAAGUAAGUUGAGGUAAUGGCCUGGGGCAAGGGGAUUUUGAAGGCAUUGGAGAAUCAGUGGACUGUGUAGUCUAAGGUUCUCCCAGUGCGUUUCUUAUGUCUUCCGAAAUAUAAAGGCAGAACUUCAUCUGAUGGAAAUCAGAACAGUGCUAUUGAAGUUCAUGGAGCUGUGGAUUUGGUGCCCAUAUUCAGAAAUAAUGAAUACAAGGAGGAAAAAUGUAGCACAAACACUGUAUAUCCAACAGCCCAUCGAAUAUGGGUCAAAUUCAGAGAUCAUGUGAAAAAGUGUAAUGCAAGUCCUUUUCCUUGGGAAUUUCCCUUGUUUAAGAAUAAUAAAAAUUUUCUACUGCAUUACCUUGGUUUGAGUAAUGCCACAAACCUUCCUCCCUUCUUGCCCAAGGGUUAAACAAGAGAGAUUUUGAAGUGAAUGUGUGAGUAGGGAAGAGUGUGAUUGUGCCAUAGCCCUGUCCUGUUCCAUUCUGCUCCGUUGUAGCAGAAAUGUACCCAUGCGUUCCGGAUCAUAAAAAUCCAUUGCAAAGAAAUGCUCAGAAACGUGGAGUUCAGCAAAGGAUUCGGUACACACAUUUUAAAGGGUCUGUGAUACCCUCGGAUCGUUUCUGAACUGCUGGGGUGUGAUCCUGAGGUGAACUGGUCCAUCUCAACCGCCGUGAUAGCCACUGAGACAUUGAUGUUGACGUGGAACCAAAAAUUUGUCAGGGCACUGGAAAAGAGCGAGGAUCACAGAAGUGAAUGAUACUGAUCAAAGCAGAUGAGAGUCAGGAGUGUUUAUACGGGAGAUGCGGACUCGCACACGCACUCAGCGAUCUGAAGCCGCUUAGAGUUAAUAUGCUGUCUAUUAACAUUUGCUCAAAUGCAGCACCUGUCACAGCACGUACAGCGUACGUGUUUGUUGGGUCAGCCUCAGCAGAGGGGAGCGAGGUGUGGUAAGAGAGGAGCUCACUCUGCGUGGGUAUGACACCUAAAUAAUGCAGAAUGUGUGCUCUGUCUUCUCCCCAAAAACCAAAACCAGGGGCUUGAACUUUGUCUUUACCCAGCAAUGACCACAGCUCAUGGUUCUAAUAAUAUUUGAAUGUCUCUCAUGCUUUAGUAUUUGCCUCCCAGCGGUACGCUGCUAGAAAAGGGGCUGCGUUGUCCAUGUUUUACUGAUGGUAUGCAGCACAGAGGGGAGCUGGAAGCAGGCUUCCUAUAGCCAGAGCUGGAACUGAAGGCUCUCACCCUCCGGUUGUGUGCUUAUGGAUCAGUGCAUGCAGGAAAACAAACAGCACCACAACAGCCACAAAUCUUGUACCGCUGGCUUGAUAGUAUACACUGCAAGUGGCACCAGGAGUAUAUGAUACUGUGCAGGAGGAAAUCAGAUGGCCAAUGACUCUUCCUCUCACUGGGGCUUAAAGCAGCAAGCCAUUAUGAUAGCAGCUGGGCACUCUGUGGGAAGAUCAUUCACACCACAUCCACAUAUGGACUUUCAGAAAAGAUGACGUGUAUUACUUUGUGUGUCCUUAAGCAAUAGGAAAGCAGUGGAUUUGCAUUUCGGGCAGUCCCAAAUGUCAUUGUUACCGUCCGUGCUAUUGUUGUGUGUGUUGGCCUGAACUCUGACAGCUCACUGUGUAGUAGAUAGCUUCAGCGCAAGCCCGUGGUCUUAAUGAGUAAAUGAAGUUACUGUUUCUUUAGUUUAUUCUAAAUGUUGAGCCCAGCAUGGGAUCUAACCUGGAAUAGUCAUCUUGAGAAUAUUGCAGUGGAAAGCAGAGCCUAGGAUUUAACAUUGGAAAUUAGAAGUUGAUCCUGCUUCUUAUACAAAAUUGAGAUUGACAAAAUUGAGGUUUAUCUACAUAAACCUUUAAACAAAGAUGUGGCUCUGAAUCAAAAUUAGGGAACUGGAGAAGUGAAGUUGAGGAUUUUGUUCUCUUAAAGGAAACUUGCCCAGAAAGGCUGUCAGCAGAAAGAGCUGCCGCAGCAAGGGAGCUAAGCACAGACAUUAAUGGAGUCGGUUCUUUUUCUAGAGGUCAAUUUUGUAUAAAUCACGAUUGUUUAAAAAUGACAAUUAUUGAUUAAUUAAAUUUAGACUUGGAGCUUAGCCCUCUUAGUUUUGAAGAGCCUAUACGCCAAAUUGGCAUGAAUGACUAACUGAAAAAAAAAUCAUUAUUUAAUUGAGUGCUGCUCAGAUAGGAACUAAUGCCAGCAAUGGUUUUGGAGGCCCUUUCCCCACAAGUACAAAUAAAGUGGGCUUUUACAAGUCCCUCUCCGCACUCAUAUUCCUUAUAGCAGCCUGCCCUGUGUCUGACUAUAAGGAAUUUUUAUACUGCUGCCUCCAAUCCUGCUCCACAAAAGGCAGAGUUAAGUCUGAAAGUAUCUUAUGGGUCCAAAAGCCCAACAGCAAAAUGCACAAAGCUGAACUGCACUGCUACACAAGCAAUUUCUACACUUGCAUGAGCAUAGUUUAAAAUUAACUGGAUAAAGUUCUGGAGGAGAAAAACACUUCUGGGCCAGGGGAGGCAGGACCAGGCCCUUCUUGUGGAGGGAACCACUGGGAGAAGUAAAAGGGCGAUGAUCAAGGCCAUGCCUGUGGCUUGUGUGGGGCUGGAGGAGAGUCAGGCCAGCAGUGAAGGGGCACCAUGUUGGCGUGAGGCGAUACGUUAUCAUGGGGAGCUCCAGAGCUGAUCCCACACUUAAAAAUAGAUUGACAUUUAUCCAGGAGGGCAGCUGAAAUCUAACAUCUGGUGUAACUGUACAAACCUGACCUUAGGUCACGGCUCAGACACAACUCCUGGGGACAGAGCUGACUGGGCUUGCUGGACUCACCGGUGGUGAAGGGGGACGUUCUCCUUCUUAAUCCAUACUCAAGGCGGUCAUGCAGGCAUUGUGUUCUCUCUAGGUGCUCGUAUGGCUUCACGAUGUUACUACAUCACAAACAGAGCCCAUCCGAGUAUGAGUCAUUUCCAUCAAAAGAGGAGGAUGCCUUGAUCCGUGUGCGAGCAGCAGCUGUUGGAGCAAACACAAACAUGCAUGCCAAGGAUUGUAAGGAUGGAGUUUAUCUACUAUGUAAACAACCACCUGCUGCAAAUGAAAAAUUACUCCCUCACCACCUGAAUAAGAUAAGCAUAUGAUGAGGGGGAACGAAGAGACAGAUUUAUUAUUAAUUUGCUGGAACUUUCAAACCAAACAUCUCUUUUGCGGUGGAACAGUAGGAUGCACCAGGAAGCAGUGCUCCUUGCCCCAGACCUGCUCAGCAGCAUUUAUUUUGCCUAAGUGAUUUUCCUUUUUCUUUUUUUUUUUCCUAAGUCUGCUGGAGAUGAAAACACCAACCCAAAGAAGAUAAUUAAAAGCUAAAUGAAACCACAUACAGCUGUGCUACUACAUAGCUAAUGAACAUGCAAAUAUAUACAUAUGACAAGGACAUAAUGCAGACUGGCUGCCUUGAGUGCUGAGUGCAGAUUUCCAAGAGCUGGAAAUGCUAUUGAUUGUAGCUGAGCUAAACUUCCUGACUCCAGACAUCAAAGAUCAGCCUCAAUGUAAUCAUCACACAGCAUAUGGGAGUGUGGCUGUGAGGUGCUGAUGAGUGAUGGCUUGGGGACCCGAAUGUUUGCACAUAGGGUGGGAGACAUCCCAUUGGCCACCCAGCACUGAGCACCAUAUAGCCUUCCUCAGUCUUAUUGCCUGCUGAGAUUCUGGAGCUGUGGAUUUGAGCUGGGAUACUCCCUUUUGCCUUCCCACAUCACUUGGCAAGGUGCUGAUAACAUGGCAGACACACUCCCAGGAGGACCAUGUUGUAGGUAACACGUACAAGGCAAUGCUUCUGGCUCCUGUGAGGCAGUAGGCAUGAGCACCUGGACAGGUUCUCCUUGGAUAGCUUUCUCCUGCGCUGGAGUGAAAGGAGAUCAAAUCAGAUUUCUCUUGUUAGCCAAAAAACUAACAACCAAUUUACCAACAUCUAUUGAUCCCUCUGAGCUCACAGCCAGAAUACAGAAGGCAGCUCCCAAAUAUAUCCUUGUACAUCGGUGCCCCAGCAGAAAAGAACCUCACAGCCCACCCAGAGAUGAGACGAGAUAUGCACAGAGCAGAGGGGACCUGGUCUUCCCCGCCUUCACCUUGUGCCCCACUCCUCAGCCACGCCACGAUGGCGAUGUUACAGAAACAGACUUGUUAUCCUCCACAAUGGCCACAGAAGCAGCGCAGAGCCUGAGGGACUUUCCAGGAGCAUCACGGAGGGAUGGAGCACAGCCCUGGGGGGAGAAGAUGGCAGAGACUGUGGGACAGAAACCAAACUUGUGCCGAACACAAUGCUUAGUGCAUAAAAAUUAAUCAAGUACUGCAAUGACUUGCUUUAUUCAUAAUACUUAAUGGUCAUGUAAUAGGAGUUUUUAUUCUGCAGUUAAAGUUCAUAAGUGCAGGUUUUACAUGUAGAAAGGUAUUAUGCUGAUAGUUUAAUUACACACCUUUCUGCACACCAAAGGAAAUGGGUUAUGCGGGUUUUGUAAUUAAAGAAGGACUUCUGAGGGGAAAUGAACUUUGCAGUUAGCAGCGUAGUGUUUGAUUUUUAUCAGGUAUUUUUGUUUUGAGUUUGCCAGCACUCGCUGUGUGGUAAACAGGUGAGAACACCCCGAGCACGAGGUGCCAGGGAGAAGCUGCGAGUGUGCAGCAGAGUAGCAGUAUUUAAGAGCAACAUGGGUGAGCAUGAGGCACCAGCGUCAUGGGUUGGAAGGUGCUCCACAGCUCUGUCUGUGCAAUUCUAUACAGUACAAGUCUGUCCAGCAUGUCUAGGAAACAGGAAAAAAAAAGCACGGAGCACUUAAUUAAAAUUAAACCAUGGUGCUCGCCAAAGUAAUAAAGAGCUCUACUUCUUAGUUUUCUUAUUUUUGUUUUCACUAGAUGUCAUGGGCACUGAACAGAGUUUUCCCUUCCUGCAUGCCUACAAAGGUAACAAAGCCAAAAAUAUGAUGGAUAAGAGUGUGUUUUUGCUAUUGGAGUACUCAGGGACUACUCACAGCAUUUAAGGUAAAGAUGGGUACAAGCCAUUGCUAACUUGAGGCAGUUCUUGUCUCAUAUUAAUUAACAAUGUGCCACCUAUGGGGUGUCAGGGAAAGCAGUAGAACCAGGGCUCCUGUAGCAUAAUUUCAGUUCCAUAUAAAAAAGCUGUCAAAAAGCAUAUUUGGGUGUAUAUAUACUCGUAUUUACAAACUGCCAGGAGAAAUCCAUGUUCAAGCACAGUAAAUGAGCUAUAGGGUCCACACUGGACCCAGUCAGCUCUGUGCUGAGGUCUGUGAUAUAAGCAGCUCAUACCACGCUCAGCACAAAUUAAAAAGAUCUAAGCAGAAUCGUCCAAAAAGAAAAUUUAAAAUGUUUUUACAAAAACAAAUAGAAAAGGACAAGGCCUGAAUUACUGUGAGAACGCCCUUUCCUUUCUGGCGAGGCUGAAUAUUUUUGUUUGCCUGUGAAGGUGGAGCCCAGGUUGAGGAUGCCCAUAGCCAUGCUCCUUUUGCACCUCAUUGGUCGCUCUUAGCCAGCAGUAAGUCUGGAAGUGACUGUCUCCCACACAGAGCCACUGCAAUACUCUCAACAUCCAUUUAAUUGGAGUGGACAUUCGGUAAUUACAAAAGGAACAGUUGUGUAAAGGGAAUAUCCAAAUAUAACUGGACAUUUUUCUUUGAAUUUCCUUGGCCAACUGCAUAAAAUCAAUGACAAUGAGAGAGAACUGUAACUGUUUUUCUCUUAUUAAAGUCAUACACUUUGGCUCUACUCGUGGUUGUUAACAUAUUGUUGAAAGUGCUGUGACUGCAGCUUUCAACCCUCAUCCUGCAAUCAGGCCCUCACAGCACUGUUGUGGAUUACAAAUAGUCAUUUGCUUAAAAAUUAAACGUUACUUAUAAAACAACAACAAAUGCCAACCAAAUACAAACAGGUAUAAAUGUGAUUGCUCAGUGUCAAGUCCGGGUCUUCAGCCACCACAAUGUAUAGGACAAGAGCGAAUGGCCUCAAGUUGUGUCAGGGGAGGAUCAGGUUGGAUAUUAGGAAAAAUUUCUUCUCAGAAAAAGUGGUCAGGCACUGUAAUGGGGGUGGAGGAGCCACUAUCCAUGGAGGUGAUAAGGCAGGGAUAGAUGUGGUGCUAAGGGACAUGGUUAGUGGGCAAUAUUGGUAGUAGGUGGACGAUUGGACUGGAUGAUCUUAGAGCUAUUUUCCAACCUUAAUGAUUCUAUGAUUCUAUAAUUCUCUAUCAACUGGUGAGUGGGGAUCACAACGCCCUGAGGCUAGGCUGAAGUACCAUGUAGGCAACAGGCAGAAGUAGUGCAAAUACACACACACAUUUAUACAAAAUAGAUAUAAUUUGCAUUAUGCUUUUUGGGUGUACACGAAUAGCACAUCCUUUGCAAUCAGUAAUGCAAGAGAUUCCCUCAGCCCCAGGCUCACUGCUCAAGCUCCCUUGUACAAAUCCAGGGAGCGUCAUGCAGUCACAGAGAUGCUCUCCUCAGUGCACAUUCCUACGAUCUGCUGAGUUCUCCACCCUUGCAGAAAACGAUACUGCUCCAAUUUUAUUAUUUUUUUUAAGUCUAACAAGGGUAAUUAUAAUAGGAUUAACAGAUUUUUUUUUUCCCUCCACAAAGUACAACUGUCUCAUAUCAGAGAGAGUAUUAUAGCAGACUUAUGACUAGACGAGUUUUUACUGUAUAUGGAAAUGUAUUAAAAUGAAUGUAUGGCUCAAACACACGCAUCGCUCACUGUAUUGUUUUGCAGCAGCUACUUCUCCCACAAAGGGCGACCACAUGUGAAGAGCGAGAUUCCCAGUAAGUAUCUGGUAAACAUUUGGAAACGAGAGACAAAUAGCGCAGUGCAAUUGCACCAUCGUACUUCAAACACCCACUAGAAAAAAAAAGAAAGAAUCCAUUGCGCAGCGCGCCAAGCCUGGCUCCCCAAACCGGGAGGAAUCGCAACGCCGGUUCGUCUUCAUAAUCUCUGUCGUGAUCGAAAUCUGGACUGUGGUUGGCUGUUGUCACUAAGGAGAGCGGGCCUUCAUUUUCAUCUGGAUCUAGCGGUUCUUCUUUGACAUGCACGGGGUGCCUGGAAAAACGAAAACAUGGUCACUCAGCGAGCUGCUCGCUCCAACACGGCCCUGACAGCUCGGGGGGCUGGGAAGGAACGUGGGGCGGUUUGGGCCUUUGGAGCUGCAGGGCACUGAGGAGCAGAGCCUGAACGUGGAGCCGGGCUGUGAAGGCUGCGCUCCGCCGCUCGGCCUCCCGCGGGAAACGCUCCGGGAGGAGUACCUCGAUGGGCCUUCAGUCUCGGCGUCGAGAGAAAGCACUCUCAGCUGACACGUUAAGUUGAUUAAUACAAUCUUUGGAUAAAUAAGCGGAAUGAGCACCCGAAAAGCAAAGGAGAGGGCUGUCGGCCCGCCGAGCCGGCGGAGGUUGGGCUAAUCACCGCGCUGUGUGUGCGGCGUCGCUCGUUAACAUGCAGAACCUGUGAGACAACUCUCCAGAGGACGACCCCAAGUGAGGUUCUAUCAUUAAUCAACUUCAAGCAAACACAGCAAAGAGACACCAUGAUACAUGCUUUAAACUCCAAAUUAAUGCAUAUUUUUACAAACUGUCAAUAAGGGAAGAAAAGCCCUGCCAGGAAACACAAACAGAGAGGAAAAGGCUCGCUCAACACAACAAUAUGAUAAGAAAGCACAGUCCUAACGAGAAUAAUAACACUGUCAGCUGUAAACAAGGCAGAACAUGAUCCCCAGCUCACGGUGGGCACAAGGAUGUACUAAAGAGAUGAGAUCUGCCAAAUUUCUCAUUAUGGCACAGCACAUGAAUAACCCGCAGGGGAACGGGGCUUGGUCAUUCAAAACGGGUAUGAUAACAAUUGAAAAAUGUUGUUCGUAAAUCAUAUUUACAACAAAUCCUAUACAAAUACAAAUUACCUUUUCUUUUUUUGUUCGGCAGCUUUUGAAAUGUAAAAUAGCCAUGUGAGUCAAUAGUGUCUUGUUGGUGGGACUUUAUAGGAAAGUAGGAUUUUAUUGACAUUACCAAGUAUUAAUAAUGCGACACAGCAAUGGAGACCCUGUUUGCUUCCUAAAUAAUUGAUGUUGUAGGCAAUCCCUUAAAAUAAAGUGUUAAUGAGUUCAA